rnacentral:RNase_P_RNA from 1 species
GAAGCAAGCCAGACCGCCGCUGGGGCGAGCAUGGAAACAUGGCCCUGGAGGAAGGUCCGGACUGCACAGAGCGGCGUAGCAGCUAACGGCUGCCCGGCGAAAGCCGAGGAUCAGAGCAACAGAGACGAGUCGACCAAACGUGCGGGGUUCGCCCCGCGGGACCGUGAGCGCAGCUCACGGGGUCGGGUGCAACGGGCAAUCUCUACGCGCAGCAACACCAAGUAGGCCAGCGUUGAUGCGGCUCGCAGAGCUGGCGGGUAGGUGGCACCGA